GGGUCAGUAGGUUGGUCGUGCCACCGGUACGUACUGGCCUCACUGAUUCCUCCUUCCUGAAGAACCGUAAUGCCAUUAAUUUGGUGUUGCGGGGAAACAGGACUGUUACUUUGAAAAAAUUAGAGUGUUUAAAACAAGCUAACGCUUGAAUACAUUAGCAUGGAAUAAUGAAAUAGGACGAUCGAUCCUAUUUUGUUGGUUUCUAGGAUUGACGUA
rnacentral:rRNA from 1 species